rnacentral:rRNA from 1 species
AGUGAACGCUGGCGGCGUGCCUAAUACAUGCAAGUCGAACGGACAAGUAAGAGCUUGCUCUUAUGAGUUAGUGGCGCACGGGUGAGUAAUGUAUAGCUAAUCUGCCCUACACUAGAGGACAACAGUUGGAAACGACUGCUAAUACUCUAUACUCCUCUCUAGCAUAAGUUAGAUAGGGAAAGUUUUUCGGUGUAGGAUGAGGCUAUAUUGUAUCAGCUAGUUGGUGAGGUAAUGGCUCACCAAGGCUAUGACGCAUAACUGGUCUGAGAGGAUGAUCAGUCACACUGGAACUGAGACACGGUCCAGACUCCUACGGGAGGCAGCAGUAGGGAAUAUUGCUCAAUGGGGGAAACCCUGAAGCAGCAACGCCGCGUGGAGGAUGACACUUUUCGGAGCGUAAACUCCUUUUGUUAGGGAAGAACAAUGACGGUACCUAACGAAUAAGCACCGGCUAACUCCGUGCCAGCAGCCGCGGUAAUACGGAGGGUGCAAGCGUUACUCGGAAUCACUGGGCGUAAAGGACGCGUAGGCGGAUUAUCAAGUCUCUUGUGAAAUCCUAUGGCUUAACCAUAGAACUGCUUGGGAAACUGAUAAUCUAGAGUGAGGGGAGAGGCAGAUGGAAUUGGGUGGUGUAGGGGUAAAAUCCGUAGAGAUCACCAGGAAUACCCAUUGCGAAGGCGAUCUGCUGGAACUCAACUGACGCUAAUGCGUGAAAGCGUGGGGAGCAAACAGG